rnacentral:tRNA from 2 species
UUUAUAUAGUUUAAUUAAAACCUUAUAUUUUCAUUGUAAAAAUAAACAAAUCGUUUUAUAAAUAU